rnacentral:rRNA from 1 species
GAUGAACGCUGGCGGUGUGCCUAAUACAUGCAAGUCGAGCGAACAGACGAGGAGCUUACUCCUCUGACGUUAGCGGCGGACGGGUGAGUAACACGUGGAUAACCUACCUAUAAGACUGGGAUAACUUCGGGAAACCGGAGCUAAUACCGGAUAACAUGUUGAACCGCAUGGUUCAACAGUGAAAGACGGUCUUGCUGUCACUUAUAGAUGGAUCCGCGUCGCAUUAGCUAGUUGGUAAGGUAACGGCUUACCAAGGCAACGAUGCGUAGCCGACCUGAGAGGGGGAUCGGCCACACUGGAACUGAGACACGGUCCAGACUCCUACGGGAGGCAGCAGUAGGGAAUCUUCCGCAAUGGGCGAAAGCCUGACGGAGCAAAGCCGCGUGAGUGAAGAAGGUCUUCGGAUCGUAAAACUCUGUUAUUAGGGAAGAACAAAUGUGUAAGUAACUAUGCACGUCUUGACGGUACCUAAUCAGAAAGCCACGGCUAACUACGUG